rnacentral:rRNA from 1 species
AACGCUGGCGGCAUGCUUUACACAUGCAAGUCGAACGGCAGCGCGGGCUUCGGCCUGCGAUCGGCGAGUGGCGAACGGGUGAGUAAUACAACGGAACGUGCCCAAGUCGUGGGGGAUAACACAUCGAAAGAUGUGCUAAUACCGCAUACGUCCUGAGGGAGAAAGCGGGGGAUCCUUCGGAUUCCUCCGCGCGAUUGGAGCGGCCGAUGUCAGAUUAACUAGUAAGUGAGGUAGAGGCUCACCUAGGCGACGAUCUGUAUCGGGACUGAGAGGAUCGAUCCAGCCACACUGGGACUGAGACAAGGCCCAGACUCCUACGGGAGACAGCAGUGGGGAAUUUUGGACAAUGGGGGCAACCCUGAUCCAGCCAUGCCGCGUGAGUGAAGAAGGCCUUCGGGUUGUAAAGCUCUUUCGGCCGGGAAGAAAUCGCAUUCUCUAACAUAGGAUGUGGAUGACGGUACCGGACUAAGAAG